CACGCACCCAUAAAAAACCUGCACCCACGCGACCGCUUGCCCAUUGCCCUCCACAGAAAUCUUAUCGCCACCCCACGCGAGAUCUAUCCAGUUCCUUCCCCUGUCGCCGUUCUCUCUCUCCGCCUCUCUGAAUCCUCGACAUCCCGGCGACUACAGUUGAGGGCGCGGAGCCAUGCAAGCGGAGUGUUGCGUCCAUGGACAAACUCCACCCCCUUCUCAUUCCUGCAGUCAUGGAUGAACUCCAUCCCCUUCUUCACCCACACUUAGCCCUCUUUUUUCCCUCAACUGUUGAAGAAGUUGCAACCGGCCAUGAAAAAGUUGCGUCCACAGUGGGAGGUGCUGGAACCUGCCAGGGAAAAAGCUACAACCACAUCAAUUUGAGGUGCUGGAUUUGACAUGGUGGUGCAAGUCGAUGUCGGCGGCGAGCCGGAGACGGGGACCCUGGGAUGCGGCAACCAUGGCUAGAGGGCGCUGGAACCCUCCUCUGUUCAAGCUCUGCUGCAAUCAUGGUGAGCGGAGGCAGCAGAGGCAAGUGCCGGGCACGGCAGGCGAGCGAGGGUGACGGGCGCGGUGGCAACCAAGCAUGGGAAGACAAGGACAAGCGCAGGGAGCCGGCGAGCGCAGCGCCCUUUUUUCCUUUAGAGGUUGUUCGUCAUAACUGGCGAGCCAAUAACUCGGUACUGUAAAUCGGAUGCUUAAGUGGCUUCAAACAGGAGGAUACACAUCUCUUGUCUUCCUUUUCUUUACUGUCAUACGCCAUUUUCUGACAUAUUCCCUCCAUCCCGAAUUGUAUUUAGACGCAUUUCACUGUGUAGAUUCACUCA